rnacentral:pre_miRNA from 1 species
CGGGUCGGGUCGGGCUUGGGCAAAAUUUUAGGCUCAUUUUUUAGGCCAGACCCGGCCUAGUAAAUGGGCCUGAAUUUUUAGUUAAGCCUGGCCUGAACCU